rnacentral:tRNA from 1 species
GGGGAUUUAGCUCAGCGGCAUAAGCGCCUGCCUUGCAAGCAGGCAGUGGUGAGAUUGAUCCCCA